GUCAGGGUGGCGGAGUGGACAAUCGCACGAGACUGUAAAUCUCGCGCCCGAAAGGGCUACGGAGGUUCGAAUCCUCCCCCUGGCA
rnacentral:tRNA from 1 species